UGGAGUGUGGCUUAGUGGUAGAGUGCUUGCCUAACGUGCACCAGGCCCUGGGUUUGUUACCCAACACUGCAA
rnacentral:tRNA from 1 species